AUGGAUGUUGGGUUGUGACACGUUGCUGGGCUAGGAUGUGCCCUCGAGGCAGCUUCAUCAAGCAAGGAAGAAACCAACUAGGCAGUGAAAUUUAGAGCACCUGUUUAACCCUGUGGCCAGGCAUUGGAACACUCUCAGUUGCUGCAGACGUGGUUACAGACACUGCCUUUCAGUUCCUGUGCCCAUAAGACCAGGACAAAGAAGAACACAGGAGCAUUGUAGUGGAUCCAGCCAUCAGCUGAUAGGAGAUGCUUACAGGAUGGAUCAAGCACUGACAGACAUUUACAGCUGUAAUGAGGGUGAAAGCUGACAGAUGACGAAGUCAGGAGCCAAGAUAAGGACAAAGAGAGGUCUUCAGUAUUUGUGUGGCCUCUUUGCUGCCUUUAAAUCCAGAGGAACAUUUCUGCAGGUCUGAUUGCCCUUCCAGUACACCAGUGAGCAUUGGAUGGCUGAGCAUAAGUGGUCUUCAAAGGCCUGCUUUUCUACCUUCUGUUUUGAGGUGCCAGUAGCUGCAGACUCAAAGUUCUCCUUGUGCUCUGGGAAGCCCCAACCGAACACAAAAAAAGGCUGCAAUAUUUCCAGACUCUGAACAGUCCUGUAUUAUCUGCAAAAAUCUUUGGGAAGCUCCUGUAGUUCUGAAAUGACAAAUGGUAGUGAACCUGAUUUUGCUGCUGUUGCUCAUAGCGAGCAGGACCUUACUUGUACCAUGUAUUACAGCUGGUCCACCCACAAAGGGAGCCCUUUCAGUACUGCACUCCCUGAUUUCAGCCUGGUACAAUGGCUUUGCUCUGUAAAACCUUUCCUUUCACAUCUCCCCUCACACAUGUUAACAGAACACAGAAGGACAUUCUUUGCCUCUGACACAAGCAGGGAGGAAAAGCUCCAUCACCGACCACUUUCCUUACAUCGUCUAUUUUUAAAGCGGUUUGCAGACACUAAUAGAGUGUGCUGGGUGUCAUCCAGAUUGCAGUGACAUAAGUGAAAAAGCUCCCACCAGUUCAGUGACCUCAGCAAGUUCUGGAUGUUAGAUGAGUAACAGUCACUGAGCGAAUCCGGCCAGCUUCACUGGGGAAGCGUUUCUAGACGUCACUCUUGACUGCAGUGUUCGUGUUUGUGAUCGUUCCUGUUUCCUCUAGGAUUUUCACUUCUACCUUCUGAUUCAGGCCAGAGUAAAGCCAAA